ensembl:snRNA U7 U7 small nuclear RNA
AGGAAAAUCUGCUCUUUUAGUAUUUGUCUAGAAGAGUCCUAAAACAUUUAGGGCUCCAU